rnacentral:rRNA from 1 species
CCUACGGGUGGCAGCAGUGAGGAAUAUUGGUCAAUGGGCGCGAGCCUGAACCAGCCAAGUAGCGUGAAGGAUGACUGCCCUACGGGUUGUAAACUUCUUUUAUAAAGGAAUAAAGUGAGGCACGUGUGCCUUUUUGUAUGGACUUUAUGAAUAAGGAUCGGCUAACUCCGUGCCAGCAGCCGCGGUAAUACGGAGGAUCCGCUCGUUAUCCGGAUGUAUUGGGUUUAAAGGGGGCGUAGUUGGGUUGUUAAGUCAGUUGUGAAAGUUUGCGGCUCAACCGUAAAAUUGCCAUUGAUACUGGCAGUCUUGUGUACAGUUGAGGUAGGCGGCCUUCGUGGUGUAGCGGU